rfam:Clostridium tetani E88, complete genome.
UAAAAUUCUAGGAAGAGGAAAGUAACUUUUUCUUUCUUUUUAAGCGAGCAGGGUAUGGUGGGAGCCUGUAAAAGAGGAAUAAGUAAAAUAGAGCCUUAGAGAAGUUUAUCUGAACUAAUAGUAGGAUAAACCGCUAAAAAGCGUUAAAUUUUUAAGAGGACUUAUGUCAAUUAGAGUGGUACCGCGGAUAAAACCGUCUCUUUA